rnacentral:tRNA from 1 species
GGGUGGGUGGCUCAGUGGUUAGAGCCUAGGGCUUGGGAGCGAAGGUCCCAGGUUCGAAUCUCUGGCAGAGGCA